AUUGAACGCUGGCGGCAGGCCUAACACAUGCAAGUCGAGCGGAGCGGCGGACGGGGGCGUAAUGCCAAGGAAUCUGCCUGGGCGUGGGGGAUAACGUCCGGAAACGGGCGCUAAUACCGCAUACUAUCAGAUGAGCCUAGGUCGGAGUAGCUAGUUGUUGGGGUAAAGGCAUACCAAGGCGACGAUCCGUAGCUGGUCUGAGAGGAUGAUCAGUCACACUGGGACUGAGACACGGUCCAGACUCCUACGGGAGGCAGCAGUGGGGAAUAUUGGACAAUGGGCGAAAGCCUGAUGCAGCCAUGCCGCGUGUAUGAAGAAGGUCUUCGGAUUGUAAAGCACUUUCAGUUGGGAGGCGUUACCCGCAGAAUAAGCACCGGCUAACUCCGUGCCAGCCGCCGCGGUAAUUC
rnacentral:rRNA from 1 species